GUUGUCUCAACCUGAUGAUUACCAGGAGCCUGAACAGACACCUUACUGCUCACUUAGAAGUUUGGAAGCAUUCAGACCUGUGCUGGUGGUGUAUUUCCUUCCAUACGACCUCUGACCAGCUAGCAGAUUGUGUUGAGGGUUAAGGAAGUCAGAGGACCACUGCCAUGUAGAAGAACCCUGCCUAACUGACAUCCAGAACUCGGAGCGGCUCCAGCAGAAGAUGUGAUAGCCUUGACCUGCUUCUACCAGGCCUUGCCUUGUGUCCUGGCUUUAAGAGGUUGUGCACAACUGACACUGUCCACAGCAGAGUGAAGCUUUCUUUAAAUGUCUCCAAGUUUUGGAAAACCAAGAGUGCCUUAAGUUUCUCCCGAGUGAAGGACCUACCAGAAGCCUCUCUUGGAAAAGUUAAAGAGACGCUAAUUAAAAGAAUACAGUAUGUCCCUGAUGAGGGACUGUUGACAAAGACCUGACUCCACGAGUCAUUGGAGCAGCUCCUUACCAAGAUGCAAGAUGUAACAGAUCUGAUCUGGAAAUCACCUUAAUUGCUGAAAGACCACCACUUCCCUCCAAGAGACACAACAAUGCUACUUUUUUUCUGGAUGAGGAGGUGAGCUCCAGCCUCUCCCUGGAAGAGAGGGCUGGCAGCAGCGCUGAGCUGAGAUGUGGGGUCUGCACAGGGGCCCAUUGGCUGAAGAUCCUGGAUUGUGGAGGACUAAUGCUUCCAGGCAAGCAAAGCCUGCAGCAUCCUUUUGUUCCUGGUGCAUUCAAUGGGCAGUGCAUUGACUCAGCCUUUUACUCAAAGGACACGAGGAUGCUGUAGAUUUCUCCAUUUGACCAGCUGGAUUUGCACCUGAGUUUUGAUCCCAUGGCUCCAGCUGAAGCUCUCCUUACUUCUGCAGAGAUUGUCCCCUAUGCCAGCAGGACCACCUGAGCCAUUGGCCAUCACCCAGCAGGGAAAGGAUCCCGGGCAGCUUGUCAGGCAUGUUAUGGUGGUCACGUGUGUGAUCUGCCUCCCAAGAGGAAGACAUUUGGGUUGCUGUACCAGAGCCAUGGGACGAGCUUUGCUCACGCCAGCAAGCAGCGUGCCCACCUAGUCCCUGGAGAUCUGGUAAGCAGUUAGCACUUGCUAAGCGGAUAUUGCUUCAUCUUCUGUUAUUACUUGUGUUUGCUAGGUCAAACUGACACCAACUGGUCUGCCACGGCCACAUCAGAGUACCUAUCCAGAGUCUCUGGAGAGCUGCUGAACUGUAAGGAUGUGCAAAGCCCAUAUUCCUGUGACUGCCUAUGUUUGCUAGGUCAGACUGACACUGAUCUGCAGAGAGGAGCUAUGGGCACACCUUUGUUUUACUCUGGAGGAAUAUCCUCUAUCACUCCAGGCCUUAAUUCCUCAUCAGUGAUGAACUGCUGGUGGUAUCCACAGACUGUGGCUCUGUGAUUUGGUGUGGUGGGAAAGCAGAAGCCCCAAGGCACACUGGAGGUGUAACGUUCUGCUAUAAGAACCGAAGAUACAGAAGUGAUAUUAUUGGCAGCUUGGCUGCUGACUGGGUGAGCCCUACAAAAUUCCUUUGAUGUUUUAGUCAUAUUUGAUAGGAAUAGGGCCAGACAAAAAAAAAAAACUCCAGAGUCUUCCAAAUCCUAAAAUGCAAAAACAAAGCGUUGGACCCUUUCAUUUCCUUCACAGUUCAGAGACUGCAAGGAAAAUGAUUUGAAGCAUUUCCUUCUUCUAACACCAAAACAGAGCCUGGCUUUUACAUAAGGAGAAAACUAUUUGUCGAGUGCUGCAAGCUGCGCUUUGCUAUCACACCGUUUCACAGAACCAGAAGAUACAAAUCAAUGGGGAAAUGUACAGUUGUAGUCCUGUGAUUUCUAUAUCUGCUUUUGCAAUGAUUAUGAUGACAGGACACAUCUCUUUCUUGCCCCCUCGAAGAUUUAUUUUUCUCUGCCCAGCCCUUUUUCUUAUGUUUCUGUAGUUCUCCGAAUAUAAUCUGCUGCCCUUAAUCACGUUUAAAAAAU
rnacentral:lncRNA from 1 species